CUACCUAAAGUAACCCUAAUUUUUAUUAAUAAUCCCUUCACUUUAGAGUAAUUCAAAUAAGGUACAGCCUAUUUGACUCAGGACUCAACCUUUACAAACGGGUAACAACUAAUUCACACCCCUAAGUGGGCCUAAGAGCAGCCAUCUUAUCAAAAGCGUUAAAGCUUAGCCGUGUUAAUCUUAAUCCCACACCCUCUAUCGACCCCUUCCUCACUACUGAGAGCUUCUAUAAAAUAUAGAACCCUUAAUGCUAAAACUAGUAACAAGAGGAAAACCCCUCUCUACCAUGCAAACGUAAGCCAGAAAGAACCUCUCACUGGCGCUUAACGAGCACAAAUAGUAACUCUCAAGAAAAUCCUAUUUUACCAUCCGUUAACCUAACACAAGAGCAUACCAAGAAAGAUUAAAAGAAAAAGAAGGAACUCGGCAAACCUUAACUCCGCCUGUUUACCAAAAACAUCACCUCUUGCCCCCCAUAAGAGGCCCAACCUGCCCGGUGACUCCUGUUUAACGGCCGCGGUACCCUAACCGUGCGAAGGUAGCGUAAUCACUUGUCCUCUAAAUAGGGACUAGUAUGAAAGGCUUCACGAGGGUUAGACUGUCUCCUCUUUCUAAUCAGUAAACCUAAUCUCCCCGUGAAGAA
rnacentral:rRNA from 1 species